rnacentral:rRNA from 1 species
GAUGAACGCUGGCGGCGUGCCUAAUACAUGCAAGUCGAGCGAACAGACGAGGAGCUUGCUCCUCUGACGUUAGCGGCGGACGGGUGAGUAACACGUGGAUAACCUACCUAUAAGACUGGGAUAACUUCGGGAAACCGGAGCUAAUACCGGAUAAUAUAUUGAACCGCAUGGUUCAAUAGUGAAAGACGGUUUUGCUGUCACUUAUAGAUGGAUCCGCGCCGCAUUAGCUAGUUAGUAAGGUAACGGCUUACCAAGGCAACGAUGCGUAGCCGACCUGAGAGGGUGAUCGGCCACACUGGAACUGAGACACGGUCCAGACUCCUACGGGAGGCAGCAGUAGGGAAUCUUCCGCAAUGGGCGAAAGCCUGACGGAGCAACGCCGCGUGAGUGAUGAAGGUCUUCGGAUCGUAAAACUCUGUUAUUAGGGAAGAACAAAUGUGUAAGUAACUAUGCACGUCUUGACGGUACCUAAUCAGAAAGCCACGGCUAACUACGUG